AUUGAACGCUGGCGGCGUGCUUAACACAUGCAAGUCGAUCGGUAACAGGUGUAGCAAUACAUGCUGACGAGAGGCGGACGGGUGAGGAAUAUUUGGGAAUCUGCCCAUCAGCGGGGGACAACCCGGGGAAACCCGGGCUAAUACCGCAUACGCUCUACGGAGGAAAGCCGGGGACCGCAAGGCCUGGCACUGAUGGAUGAGCCCAAAUCGGAUUAGCUAGUUGGCGGGGUAACGGCCCACCAAGGCGACGAUCCGUAGCUGGUCUGAGAGGACGAUCACCCACACCGGAACUGAGACACGGUCCGGACUCCUACGGGAGGCAGCAGUGGGGAAUAUUGGACAAUGGGGGAAACCCUGAUCCAGCGACGCCGCGUGGGUGAAGAAGGCCUGCGGGUUGUAAAGCCCUUUCGGUAGGGUCGAAAGCUCUUGCUCUAAUAAUGCAAGAGGUUGACUUAACCUACAUAAGAAGCACCGGCUAACUCUGUGCCAGCAGCCGCCGUAA
rnacentral:rRNA from 1 species